rnacentral:rRNA from 1 species
GACGAACGCUGGCGGCGUGCUUAACACAUGCAAGUCGAACGAAGUGGCGAACGGGUGAGUAUUACGUGGCUAACCUGCCCUCCUUUUUGGGCUAAGCCUUGGAAACGGGGUCUCAUACCGAAUAAAGGGGGAUGGGCUCGCGGCCUAUCAGCUUGUUGGUGGGGUACUGGCAUACCAAGGCGGUGACGGGUAGCCGGCCUGAGAGGGUGACCGGCCACAUCGGGACUGAGAUACGGCCCAGACUCCUACGGGAGGCAGCAGUGGGGGAUAUUGCACAAUGGGCGAAAGCCUGAUGCAGCGACGCCGCGUGAGUGAUGACGGCCUUCGGGUUGUAAAGCUCUGUUAGUCGGAGAGCGGAACCGGAAAAGAAGGCCAGGGUUAAUUACGGGCCAGCAGCCGGGUAAAAC